GUUUCGUCCUCUUUUUCCUCGGCCAUGUUUCCUGUAGGAUCUGCGAUUAGGCUUUGCUCCUCUAGAGAACUAAUUUCUCUAUCUUCACAUGAAGCAGGUGCUUUAAUAUCCCCGUCUGCAAAUUGCAUAGACUCGGUUUCUUCUUUUAUCAGUGUACCUUCUGCAGUUUUCUCAUUUUCAAACAAGUUUGCUUUUAUUAAGUUUUCAUCCACAAAUUUGGCCUGAUGCAUAAUUAUGGAGUCAUGAUCUUCGGCAUUUCCCAGAGGAGCUUCUUCCAAAGAAGGGUUUUGUGAGCUUUCUGCUUCGGUUGGUGAGUUAUCUUCAUCAUCUCCAUUUGGGACAUUUGUUGUAAUAUCCUAAAAUGACAGUAAAAGCUUGUUUUCAGGUUAAAGAAGAAAAAUUUAUUCUUCAUUUUGUGAUGUACUAAAUAAGCUAACAGUUAUAGAGAGAGAAUGAUUUUUACCUGAGCCUCAAGACAAUCCUCCUUUGCAUCAGUUACAUCAGUAGUUUGUUCAUUAAUUUCGUCACCCAAGGUUUCUUGUGCUUCUGCAGUUGGAGUUUCCACAUCGAUAGAACUUGGUGAGUUAUCUUCAUUCUGUUCCCUUUGAACAUCUGUGUCAACAUCCCGUACCUCAAGAGUUUGCCCCUCUGUGUAAGUUGCAUCAAAGGUUUUCUCCUCUGUCUUAUCACAUGAGAUUUCUUGUAGAUCCGCAGUUUGAAUUUGCUCAUCUAUAUCGUCCUUCAAAGUACUUUCUGUGGUCUCUCCUGUUUGAGAUGUGAUUUCAGUUUCCUUUUCCAGAUAUUCUUUUUGACAGUCCACUUGGAUCAGUGAGUUCUUUUCAGUCUCAUCGUGUAGAGUAGUUGUUGCAACAUUCUGCAGCAAGAAUAAAGCACUCGUUAAAUUUGUUUAGUUUACAGUAAUAAGAUUGGUAAUAUUCAUUUUUACAUGAUAUUUCAAUAUAUUGUUUAGCAUUGCAAUCAUUUACCAUAAGUAAUUUAUACAAUUCUUACCUUAUCCUCAGGAGUUUCAGUUGCAUCAACUACUUUGUCCUCUUUCUGGUCAUCAAUGAUUCCUGAAGGACUUGUAGUUGGGCCUUGCUCCUCUAGAGAACAUAUUUCUCUAUCUUGACCCGAAGCUGAUGCUUUAAUAUCUUCAUCUGAUACCUCCAAAGAUCUAAUGGAAACUUCCUCCUUUGCCAAACCACCUUCUGUGCUUUCCUCAUUUUCAAACAAUUCGGCUUUUAUUAAGUUCUGAUCUGCUAAUUCGGGCUCAUGUAUAGUUGACUCCUCAUCAUUAUCGUUCCCCAUAAAAACGACUGCAGGUGCUUUAAUAUCCUUAUUAACUACUUCGAAUGAGUCAGCAGCCUUCUCCAUCACUGCGUCGUCUUUCAAAGUUGUUUCCUUGGUCUCUCCUGUUUGAGAUGUGUCUUCACUUUCCUUUUCCAGAUCUUCCUUUUGACAGUCCACUUGGAUCGGUGAGUUCUCUUCAGUCUCCUCAUGUAGAGUAAUAGUUGUUGCAACAUUCUGCACCAAGAAUAAAACACUCGUUAAAUUGAUUAACUUACAUAAGUAUUUUUGGUAAUAAUUUAUUUUUUGCAUGAUAUUUCAAUUUAUUCUAACAAAGUAAUUUAUGUAAUUCUUACCUUAUCCUCAGGGCUCUCAGUUGCAUCAAUUGUUUUGUCUUCUUUUUGGUCAUCAAUGAUUCCUGAAGGACUUGUAGUUAGGCCUUUCUCCUCUAUAGAACUUGUUUUUGUUUCUUGGCCAGAAGUUGAUGCUUUAAUAUCUUCAUCUGAUACCUCCAGUGAUCUAAUGGACACUUCCUGCUGUGCCAAAUAAACUUCUGUGCUUUUUGCAUUUUCAAACAAUUCGGCUUCUAUUAAGCUCUGAUCGGUUACUUUGGACUCAUGUAUAACUGUUGACUCCUCAUAAUUGUCGUUCCCCGUAGAAACGAAAGCAGAUGCUUUAGUAUCCUCCUUAACUACUUCGAAUGAGUCAACAACCUUCUCCACCAAUGCAUCGUCCUUUAAAGUACUUUCUGAGAUCUCUACUGUUUGAGAUGUGUCUUCACUUUCCUUUUCCAGAUCUUCCUUUUGAUAGUCCACUUGGAUCGGUGAGUUCUCUUCACUCUCCUCAUGUAGAGUAGUUGUUGCAGCAUUCUGCACCAGGAAUAAACACUCGUUAAAUUUGUUUUAUUUAAAGAAAUAAGAUUGGUAAUAUAUAUCCUAAGUAAUUUAUACAAUUCUUACCUUAUCCUCAGGAGUUUCAGUUGCAUCAAUUGUUUUGUCCUCUUUUUGGUCAGCAAUUAUUCCUGAAGGACUUGUAGUUAGGCCUUGCUCCUCUAUAGAACAUGUUUCUCGAUCU
rnacentral:lncRNA from 1 species